rnacentral:rRNA from 1 species
UACAGAGGUCUCAACCGUUGUUCGGAUUCAUUGGGCGUAAAGGGUGCGUAGGCGGUCGCGCAAGUCGGAUGUGAAAUCUCAGGGCUCAACCCUGAAACUGCAUUCGAUACUGCGUGGCUAGAGUGCUGGAGAGGUUGGUGGAAUUCUCGGUGUAGAGGUGAAAUUCGUAGAUAUCGAGAGGAACACCGGUGGCGAAGGCGGCCAACUGGACAGAUACUGACGCUGAGACACGAAAGCGUGGGGAGCAAACAGG